rnacentral:rRNA from 1 species
UACGUAGGGUGCGAGCGUUGUCCGGAAUUACUGGGCGUAAAGAGCUCGUAGGUGGUUUGUCGCGUUGUUCGUGAAAACUCACAGCUUAACUGUGGGCGUGCGGGCGAUACGGGCAGACUGGAGUACUGCAGGGGAGACUGGAAUUCCUGGUGUAGCGGUGGAAUGCGCAGAUAUCAGGAGGAACACCGAUGGCGAAGGCAGGUCACUGGGCCGCAACUGACGCUGAGGAGCGAAAGCAUGGGGAGCGAACAGG